rnacentral:rRNA from 1 species
CCUACGGGUGGCAGCAGUGGGGAAUAUUGCACAAUGGGGGAAACCCUGAUGCAGCGACGUCGCGUGAGUGAUGAAGUAUUUCGGUAUGUAAAGCUCUAUCAGCAGGGAAGAAAAUGACGGUACCUGACUAAGAAGCCCCGGCUAACUACGGGCCAGCAGCCGAGGUAAUACGUAGGGGGCAAGCGUUAUCCGGAUUUACUGGGUGUAAAGGGAGCGUAUGCGGGGGUGCAAGCCAGAUGUGAAAGCCCGGGGCUCAACCCCGGGACUGCAUUUGGAACUGUGCUGCUAGAGUGUCGGAGAGGCAGGCGGAAUUCCGAGGGUAGCGGUGAAAUGCGUAGAUAGUAGGAGGAACACCAGUGGCGAAGGCGGCCUGCUGGACGAUGACUGACGUUGAGGCUCGAAAGCGUGGGGAGCAAACAGGAUUAGAUACCCCUGUAGUC